rnacentral:lncRNA from 1 species
CUCUUGCUCUUCCCGGCUUCGGUGCUGCGCACCGACGUCCCCAGGCACAGGACUGCUAGCAGCAGCAGCCGCCCGGGUCCCGGACCCCUGAGCAUCUUGAGUGGAUGGGAGGAGAGUCGCCCUCCCCAGGAGGCAAGUGGCCACGAACUGUGGGUCCCCUCGCAGCCUGCGGGAAAAGUCCUGAGGUGGGGACGCCGGCUUGUUUCUAUCAGCUGAUGCCAUGUUUUGCAAGAUUCCUGAGACUUCAUCAAUAAACACAGCCAGCCCGUCUGCCUAUUUUCUUCUUGCAGUCAAGCUUUGACUAAAAUAAUGCAAACGUUGAAGACCCUAAUGAUUAAAACCACUUCAGUUUAGGAGGGCAAUACAAAGUGUGGAAUUUUGACAUUUUGAGACAUCGUCCUCACUUUGUUGUAUUCC